AGCUUGUUAAUUGCGAUCCAUAAAAUCCUUGAUCAGGAGACUAAAUACAACAAUUUUCACUAGGACAGACUUUUUUUUUUUUAUUAUCAAUAAUAUUUUUUCAUCAGUUAGUGAUCCAGGGCAAAUGACAGCCAACUCCUCCCAAGAGUCUCUGGUGGUUGCAUCUGUUAUCUUUGCAAUCCUAAUUCUUUCAUCAACCAUACCGCCAGCCCUUGCAGCUGGAAUUACUGGAUUAACUCAUCGAGAGCUCAUGCAGAAGCCACAUUGUCCUCCAUGUUUAUGUUGCCAAAGAAAACUACCGCCACCGGAGUGUUGCUAUUGCGCCUGUUUUGUUACUGAAUCAGGAAAUAAAGCUCCAUGAAGAUUGCUCUCACAGCCCUUCAAUUCCAACACUUCUUUCUUUCUUUUUGACCUUCUGUAAUCCGGUUUGAUGCCAUGAGCUAAUUUUGGCACUCAAUAUUAAUGAAUCUCCUCCAUUAUGUUACAAGUGAAGUAGUCACGACCAAGGCCAACAUAAUAAAAAUUCUAGCUGCUGUAUUUGUUUGGAAAAUGCCAACCUCGUUUAUUGUUGUUACUUUAAACUCAAGAAAU